rnacentral:rRNA from 1 species
UUCCUGCACCGCGCACGCGGCGCUACGACCGACGGGGCGACGGAUGGGGGUGGCUCGGCGGGGUUCUGGACGUCCCCGUGAUGGAGCGCGGCCCGCGGACCAGGGAAAUCCGGUCCGCAUCAAGGGCGAGGCUCCGGACGAAGCGACUGAGCGAAGCGAGUGAGCCCGAGGUCCCUAGAAAAACCCCUAGGCAGGCGCGUGCGCGCCCGUACCGCAAACCGACACAGGUGGGUGGGUAGAACAUACCGAGGCGAUCGGGUCAACCAUGGUCAAGGAACUCGGCACAAUGGCCCCGUAACUUCGGGAGAAGGGGUGCCCGCGCGUACGUGAACCGGCUUGCCCGGGGAGCGGAGGCGGGCCGCAGUGGAGAGGCCCAAGCGACUGUUUACCAAAAACACAGGACUCUGCAGAAGCCGCAAGGCGACGUAUAGGGUCUGACGCCUGCCCGGUGCCGGAAGGUCACGCGGAGGAGUUAGCCGUUAAGGCGAAGCCCCGAAGCCAAGCCCCGGUAAACGGCGGCCGUAACUAUAACGGUCCUAAGGUAGCGAAAUUCCUUGUCGGGUAAGUUCCGACCUGCACGAAAGGCGCAACGACUUGGGCGCUGUCUCGACCAUGGACCCGGUGAAAUUGCACUGGUCGUGAAGAUGCGACUUACCCGCGGAAGGACGGAAAGACCCCGUGAACCUUCACUGCAGCUUGGCAUUGGCCGCUGGUCCCGCGUGUAGAGGAUAGGCAGGAGGCUAAGAUCCGGAGGCGCCAGCCCCCGGGGAGCCGCCCUUGGAAUACUGCCCUCGCGCGACCGGCGUCCUAACCCGAGGCCGUCAACCGGCUCGGGGACCGUGCCAGGCGGGCAGUUUGACUGGGGCGGUCGCCUCCUAAAGGGUAACGGAGGCGCGCGAAGGUCCGCUCGGGACGGUCGGCAACCGUCCUUUUGAAUGCAAGAGUACAAGCGGGCUUGACUGCGAGGCCCACAAGCCGAGCAGGUGCGAAAGCAGGCUCUAGUGAUCCGGCGGCCCCGAGUGGGUGGGCCGUCGCUCAACGGAUAAAAGGUACUCCGGGGAUAACAGGCUGAUCUUGCCCAAGAGUCCACAUCGACGGCAAGGUUUGGCACCUCGAUGUCGGCUCAUCGCAUCCUGGGGCUG